rnacentral:rRNA from 1 species
UACAGAGGUCUCAACCGUUGUUCGGAUUCAUUGGGCGUAAAGGGUGCGUAGGCGGCGGGGUAAGUCAGGUGUGAAAUCCCCGGGCUCAACCCGGGAACUGCGUCCGAUACUGGAAGGCUGGAAUCCGGGAGAGGGAUGCGGAAUUCCAGGUGUAGCGGUGAAAUGCGUAGAUAUCUGGAGGAACACCGGUGGCGAAGGCGGCAUCCUGGACCGGCAUUGACGCUGAGGCGCGAAAGCCAGGGGAGCAAACGGG